rnacentral:lncRNA from 1 species
GAUCUGUUACCUUUUCUUAGCUACCGCAAAUUUCUUUUCUUUUUCUUUUUGUUUCUUUUUUUUUCUUUAAUAAAAUAUCAAACCCAGAAUUAGACACAGAUUCAAGAAAUGCUUUGACUAUAGUGGAGUGCAAAAUGCCUUCUAAUUUCCUUAUUCCAGAUGUACUGCUUUUGGCCCCAAACCAGAAACAAAACAAAACAAAACAAAACAAAAACCAAAAAGCAAAAACUAAAACAAAACAAAAAACACCACCAACAACCACAACCCUUCCCCAAACAAACAAACAAACAAACAAAACCAAAAAAUGAACCAAAAAACCCCACAUGAAUCCCAACUUCUACAUUCUAAAGCUACCACCCGGUCCUCUUUGGUAUCUUCACAUUUGACGAGCCUGUCUCCUGUAUUUCUCUACGGAUUGCUGAGGAGAAACACGGAUGAAGACAGGCAGCCUAUGGUUCAGUAUCACUUUACCCUUUUCCAAGUGCAUCUUUGUGAUCAGAGGCUGGGCCUCAAGUGUUUGCUAGUUGGAUCCCGCCCUUUCCCAGACUCUCCUCGCUUCUACACCUCGUAAGACAAACUUGAUUUUGAGAGAGAGUUCUGGGUUUCCUUGCAGUUUUGUGAGUACUUUAGCCAUCCUCACAUCCUCCGCUCCUGGCUGUAGCUCCCACUGCUCUCCCCUUGACCACGCUCAUCCUCCAGCUCCAUGCAUGGCAGAUGUUUCCAUAGUGUCCAUAUUCUCUUCCAUUCUAGGCUUCCUAACAUCAUGCUGCCUCUGACAGAAUUCUGGUUCUGUGGCUACUACUUACUCCCUGACCCCUACCCCUACAACAAUCCCAACCAGAAUGUUACCCUAACUACAGUCACAACCCCAACACCAUCCCCUAACCCUAUUUCAUCCCUGCCCCAACACCAAAUCAUAUUUCUAAUGUAAUCAAAUCAUAAUCUGGCCACCAGGUUACUGAUCAAAUUCACUCGAUGUGAAUUAGGCUCUCUGAGUUGACUAAUCUUCCUCGUUUGCUUGACUGAAUUUGGAAUCAGGUAUAUUUCUGGAUGUGUUUCCAGAGAGGUUGAACUGAGAGACAAAACUCACUCUUGACCAUUGGGCCACCAUCUCAUGGCUAGGGUCCUGGACUGAAUAAAAAGAGAGAGAGAGAAAAAAAAAAAUAAAAGCAGCUGAGUACCAGAAUCCUUUGCUCUCUGCGACCGACCUGUCAAGUUGUGAACGAGCUCCUGUACUCCAGCCACCUGGGAGUCACACCUGCAGCCAUGCCUUCCUUGUUGGGAUGGAGUGUACCUCCAACCCUGAGCCCAAAUGCGCCCUUCCUUAGGUUGCUUUUGUCAGGCACCUUGCAUAGGAGAGCUUACACUAUCCCCCCCACCUCACCCAAAACACCUCCCCUAUUGUCAUGGUGAGUGCUCUGUAAUUGCCUGUUAAUUUGGCAUUUUCUUCUCUUAAGGAAAAAAAUUGCAUUUGUCAGUUAUGGAGCAAAUGACAUACCUGGCCCAUACUACAUAUACCAUAAGCACUAAGUGAACUCCCACCAUGGUAAACAUUGUUGCCUACGACCCCUCAACUCCAUUUCUCUUAUUCCAAUACAUUUCUAGAAAAGGGAUGAAGGAGUUGGAGGAGACAACCCUUUCAGCGUUGCUGUUCUCCUUUUAUGUCAUGGAGACUGUUAGUGGCCUUUUCAUUAAGCUGUAACGAUCUGCUAACUAACAGAUUUUAUCUUGAGAAUGUUGAACUCUCAUUCUUACCUAUUCAAUUGCUUUUAUUUCUUUUUUCUUUUUUCUUGUUUUUUUUAUGCUCAUGAGUAUUUUGCCUACAUGUAUGUAUGUGUGCUGUAUGGAUGCCUGCUUCCCACAGAGAUCAGCAGAAGAGGGCACCAGACCCCCUGACACUGGACUUUCUGGAUGGUUGAAAGCCACCUCUGGUCUCAAACCCUGCAACUUUGCAACUGCAACAAGCGCUCUUAAGCUGAUCAGCUAUCUUUUCAGCCCCAUCCACAUUUAACUUACCUUUUUGGUGGAAUGAAACUGGUUUUUAAAAUGCAAAAUGUAAUCAAAUCAUAAUUUGGCUCGUUGCUUUUGUGCUUAGAGACUUAAGAAACAAUCUGAUACCUAAGUUUUGUUUUCAUCACUCUGCAGUUGUUACUUUGUUCAUAAUAGGGUUUCAUUAGCCAUACUGUCCUAGAAUUCCCGACAUUCUCCUACCUUAGCCUCCCAAAGGUUGAGAUUAGAGGCAUGAGCCCCCACACUGGCUUUUAAAAUGUUUAACUUAAUCCUCUGGGACUCAACCUUGGGGACAGUGGUGUGGCUAGCUUAUUGCAUUUCUUUACAUCAAGUCGUUCCUCGUCCUUUCUUAAAGAGAAGACAGAAACAGGAACUGAAAUGAGUUCUUCUGUGAACAAAUGUCUUCUUGUUGCAAAUGAGAAUGGCUGGGAGUCCAUCCAUUUCCCUGCCUGCCUUGCUUUGAGCACGCCUUGAGGACUUCUCAGUGUCCUUGGGCUCCUUGUUUUAAAUAUCUCUAUCCCUAUUUUUUUUUUAAGUGUGCUGUGCUGUAAAUCUUCCCUAGAGAGUCUGUGCACUUACUGCUUGGUCCAAGUUAUAGCCACACCUGUGGGAGUUCUCCAUGCAAAUUGCCCGUGUUCUUGAGUGUUACGGUCUCCACAUCAUUUAAUUCUUUGCUUUGUGUCACCAGUUCUUUCUCAAGUCUGCAGCUUUUACAAAUGAUAUCUUUUUAGAUCCAUAGAACCAGCCCUAUCUCCUUUUAUUCAACUUUAUCUUUUUUCUGGGCUACUUAAAUCAUUCUUGAGCCCAGCAUCCUGGGCUGACUCUCUCCAAUUCUAAACAGCUAUCUAAACAAAAGGCAGACUUGCGUUUCCCUUUGAAAAAUAAAACGAAAUCCUCUUCAUCCCAC